GGGUUGUGAGGUUAAGCGACUAAGCGUACACGGUGGAUGCCCUGGCAGUCAGAGGCGAUGAAGGACGUGCUAAUCUGCGAAAAGCGUCGGUAAGGUGAUAUGAACCGUUAUAACCGGCGAUGUCCGAAUGGGGAAACCCAGUGCAAUUCGUUGCACUAUCGUUAACUGAAUACAUAGGUUAACGAGGCGAACCGGGGGAACUGAAACAUCUAAGUACCCCGAGGAAAAGAAAUCAACCGAGAUUCCCCCAGUAGCGGCGAGCGAACGGGGAGCAGCCCAGAGUCUGAAUCAGCUUGUGUGUUAGUGGAACGGUCUGGAAAGUCCGACGGUACAGGGUGAUAGUCCCGUACACCAAAAUGCACAGGCUGUGAACUCGAAGAGUAGGGCGGGACACGUGGUAUCCUGUCUGAAUAUGGGGGGACCAUCCUCCAAGGCUAAAUACUCCUGACUGACCGAUAGUGAACCAGUACCGUGAGGGAAAGGCGAAAAGAACCCCGGCGAGGGGAGUGAAAAAGAACCUGAAACCGUGUACGUACAAGCAGUGGGAGCACCUUCGGGUGUGACUGCGUACCUUUUGUAUAAUGGGUCAGCGACUUAUAUUCUGUAGCAAGGUUAACCGUAUAGGGGAGCCGCAGGGAAACCGAGUCUUAACUGGGCGUUAAGUUGCAGGGUAUAGACCCGAAACCCGGUGAUCUAGCCAUGGGCAGGUUGAAGGUUGGGUAACACUAACUGGAGGACCGAACCGACUAAUGUUGAAAAAUUAGCGGAUGACUUGUGGCUGGGGGUGAAAGGCCAAUCAAACCGGGAGAUAGCUGGUUCUCCCCGAAAGCUAUUUAGGUAGCGCCUCGUGAAUUCAUCUUCGGGGGUAGAGCACUGUUUCGGCUAGGGGGUCAUCCCGACUUACCAACCCGAUGCAAACUACGAAUACCGAAGAAUGUUAUCACGGGAGACACACGGCGGGUGCUAACGUCCGUCGUGAAGAGGGAAACAACCCAGACCGCCAGCUAAGGUCCCAAAGUCAUGGUUAAGUGGGAAACGAUGUGGGAAGGCACAGACAGCCAGGAUGUUGGCUUAGAAGCAGCCAUCAUUUAAAGAAAGCGUAAUAGCUCACUGGUCGAGUCGGCCUGCGCGGAAGAUGUAACGGGGCUAAACCAUGCACCGAAGCUGCGGCAGCGACACUAUGUGUUGUUGGGUAGGGGAGCGUUCUGUAAGCCUGCGAAGGUGACCUGUGAGGGUUGCUGGAGGUAUCAGAAGUGCGAAUGCUGACAUAAGUAACGAUAAAGCGGGUGAAAAGCCCGCUCGCCGGAAGACCAAGGGUUCCUGUCCAACGUUAAUCGGGGCAGGGUGAGUCGACCCCUAAGGCGAGGCCGAAAGGCGUAGUCGAUGGGAAACAGGUUAAUAUUCCUGUACUUGGUGUUACUGCGAAGGGGGGACGGAGAAGGCUAUGUUAGCCGGGCGACGGUUGUCCCGGUUUAAGCAUGUAGGCUGGUUAUCCAGGCAAAUCCGGAUAAUCAAGGCUGAGGUGUGAUGACGAGGCACUACGGUGCUGAAGUAACAAAUGCCCUGCUUCCAGGAAAAGCCUCUAAGCAUCAGGUAACAUCAAAUCGUACCCCAAACCGACACAGGUGGUCAGGUAGAGAAUACCAAGGCGCUUGAGAGAACUCGGGUGAAGGAACUAGGCAAAAUGGUGCCGUAACUUCGGGAGAAGGCACGCUGGUGUGUAGGUGAAGUCCCUGCGGAUGGAGCUGAGACCAGUCGAAGAUACCAGCUGGCUGCAACUGUUUAUUAAAAACACAGCACUGUGCAAACACGAAAGUGGACGUAUACGGUGUGACGCCUGCCCGGUGCCGGAAGGUUAAUUGAUGGGGUUAUCCGUAAGGAGAAGCUCUUGAUCGAAGCCCCGGUAAACGGCGGCCGUAACUAUAACGGUCCUAAGGUAGCGAAAUUCCUUGUCGGGUAAGUUCCGACCUGCACGAAUGGCGUAAUGAUGGCCAGGCUGUCUCCACCCGAGACUCAGUGAAAUUGAACUCGCUGUGAAGAUGCAGUGUACCCGCGGCAAGACGGAAAGACCCCGUGAACCUUUACUAUAGCUUGACACUGAACAUUGAGCCUUGAUGUGUAGGAUAGGUGGGAGGCUUUGAAGCGUGGACGCCAGUCUGCGUGGAGCCAACCUUGAAAUACCACCCUUUAAUGUUUGAUGUUCUAACGUUGGCCCCUGACCGGGGUUGCGGACAGUGUCUGGUGGGUAGUUUGACUGGGGCGGUCUCCUCCCAAAGCGUAACGGAGGAGCACGAAGGUUAGCUAAUCCUGGUCGGACAUCAGGAGGUUAGUGCAAUGGCAUAAGCUAGCUUGACUGCGAGCGUGACGGCGCGAGCAGGUGCGAAAGCAGGUCAUAGUGAUCCGGUGGUUCUGAAUGGAAGGGCCAUCGCUCAACGGAUAAAAGGUACUCCGGGGAUAACAGGCUGAUACCGCCCAAGAGUUCAUAUCGACGGCGGUGUUUGGCACCUCGAUGUCGGCUCAUCACAUCCUGGGGCUGAAGUAGGUCCCAAGGGUAUGGCUGUUCGCCAUUUAAAGUGGUACGCGAGCUGGGUUUAGAACGUCGUGAGACAGUUCGGUCCCUAUCUGCCGUGGGCGCUGGAGAAUUGAGGGGGGCUGCUCCUAGUACGAGAGGACCGGAGUGGACGCAUCACUGGUGUUCGGGUUGUCAUGCCAAUGGCACUGCCCGGUAGCUAAAUGCGGAAGAGAUAAGUGCUGAAAGCAUCUAAGCACGAAACUUGCCCCGAGAUGAGUUCUCCCUGAGACUUUAAGUCUCCUGAAGGAACGUUGAAGACGAUGACGUUGAUAGGCCGGGUGUGUAAGCGCAGCGAUGCGUUGAGCUAACCGGUACUAAUGAACCGUGAGGCUUAACCUUACAACGCCGAAG
rnacentral:rRNA from 1 species